UUUAGUAUUCAUUUUCUGUCCUCCUUUUACUGGCUGAUUUCCAGAACAUGGGCCAACAUCUUGGAGCCUAAACACAGACUGCAGAAAGCAAGCCAUGCAACCAUUGCUUGUUUUGGUGCAAAAAUAAUGAAUUUAGUCUGGGGAAAAGAAAAGGGGAGUCUGCUUGUAGCAGCAUCUUACUCUAUCCUGCACAGAAUGAACAAAACAGUCAUUCAUCUUAUUCUAACAUAUAUAAUUUAUAAUAUAUUUAUGCUAUUUUUUUUGCUGACAACUUUAAUAAGUAUUUGCCCUACAGUAUUAGAAAAAAAUACUACAUUUCUGGGCUCAGGUUUAACCCCAUCCUUCCAACUUUGCUGCGGCAACUUUUUUGGGAGAGGGGGACCACUUGGGAUAUUCCCGUCCAUCAUGCUGUUGUUGAUAUCCCUACCUGAUGACAAAGAAACCACCCACCAUCGCAGGCCUCUCUGCAUACAAAAAUUACUGGCCUAUCCAUCAGUCCGGUGGAGAGGGCUGACAAGACAUACUGCACUCAAAUGUAAAACACAUGGCUGCAAAACACUUAGUUUCCUGGCAAUAAUUAAGAAUGCUACUUGGCAGGUUGGCAGCCACAUAAAACAACUGUUAGUCAGCUUUAAAUUUAUUACUUUCCCAGCUUAUUGAAAUGAAACCCAUAUUAUAAACGUAUGUAUGAAACGAGGCCUCAGAUGAUGAAACGACAUGCACAUAAAGUCAAGGCAGAAGUAAAUUGUCUCAGGAGAGCUUUAAAAAGUUGCUGUGUCCUAAAGCAAGCAGAGAAAGGUACACCUUCUGGGGUUAGCCACCUGGAAACUCACCUGACUCUCCCAGCUUACUGCCAUUGAACAGACAAAAUACCAAAAGCUUCAAAAAGCUUGCUAGUUUUUGUGCAAAACAAAAUUUAGAAAAGCUAAUUGCCAUUAAGUUUGCUUUCCCCUUUACAAUUAUCUAGGGAGAGCUGCCUUGUGUGGGAUAUAUGCAUGUAGGCAACCUUAUUACGCCCUUCACAAUUAUCAUAAAUGAAAUAAAGCUGCUGCUGGCCACACUCCUGCUGUCUCUGUGCCAUUUUAUCUGGCUGGUGUGGCAGCCCAGUCCAGCAUUACUGUCCUGGUGAUCCUCAUGAUCAUUACCCCUUCCCUUUGCUGAUCAAUAGGCAUCAGCUCUGACCUCCCACAGCCUGUGUCCUUGUUGGAGGCCCAAACAGCUCAGUCUCAGACCAUCCCACUUCAUGAGCCAAGCUCUCCAUUCCUCAGCUUGCCUUACAAAAAUCUGAUCCAUCUUGUCUUUGUUUUGUGAACUUCUGGGAAUGAACACAGGCUACCAGGGAAGGGGACAGUGGCUUCUCCUACAUCAUUUGUUAGCCCAUGGCUGUCUUGCACCCAAGGGCUGCAUGGCAUUCCCUGACCUCAAACACUGGAGAGGAACCCAUACUACUCUGGGCAGUGGAUUCAACUGGGGCACAACAGUGCUAUACAUUUGUUUCCUGCUGUAAAAGAAAAAAAAAAGGAAUUCACAAUUAUCUAGUGCCUGCUUUUUAGGGUCCUAAAAUGAUUUCAAAAUUUAGUUCCAAAUCCUGUAAACACUUUGCCAUGUGACUGACUUGACUUGCAUGAAGCAACACUUGCUGGCUCUCUUGCAGGUUUCUUGUAAAAAAAAAAAAAAAAAAAAAGCUGUACAUGUGCUAAAGUGUUUGCAGAAUCAACUCCUUGGAGCUAAAUCCUUAUUUUGAAUAGUUCCACUGCUCUUCCUACUGUCACUGGCCUCCUGGGGACAUUCAGGCUUCUUCUGGGGUGCAUGAGCUAUGGGUGUUUGUGCUGCAGUAAGCCAAUGCUGCACUGUUUGCUGCUCUGAGACCUUUCCUCUGCCCUGAUAAGAAGAUCAGAACAAAUCUGCCUGCACCAAGACUGGCUUUCCUGGCACUUCUUUAAGACUUCCAUGACACUGACUCAAUGGCUGAGAAGCUAGGAUGAUGCUGUCUGUCUCUGUGGAAGUAGAUAGAGGCUCUGGAGGACUCAGAAGUGACCCUUUGAAGAACCAGCUUCAGUCUCAAUUGAGUCCCUCUGCUUAAGCAAUUCCCUUAUAUUUUAAUGCCCAAAUACCUGGAGCAACCCCCCUGGUCUAUCAAGAAUGGCUCUCCAAAGCCUCGGUGGAUAUACUGGAAGCUAUGAAGUGCAAUGCAGUUAUUUCAGCUAAACAUUACCGGCCCCUGACCCUGGAACGGGAGAAGUCAAAGUUCUUUUGGAAAUGACACAUUGUGACCUGCAGUCUGCUGUAGCACAUUAAGUCUGAUAAAUGAUCAGAAAUGAUGACUUAAACAAGCAUCUAAGAGAGAGUAUUUUGCCUAAUGUACCCAGCAGUUAACCUUAUGUAGUCACGUUGCAUAGAGGGCUCAUUUGGAAGCCGUGUAGGCUUUGCUGAGAAUAAACAAAGCGUUGCAGUACCAUUAAACGUUUUCUGCGUCUUCCUUCUGUGUUAAUGUGGUUCAGUGCUUCUGUCAUGAAAAUUAACUGAAUGGAGUUUCCCACACUCUUGACCACAAAGAGUGCACUAUGUUGCCUUUACGAGAGACAUUUUGUACUUUCCUGAACACAUGCCUGUUUCAAGAGCAAACCCUGCUUUUCAUACCACUGAAGAGGUCUGCAGCAUAGGAAAGAAGCAAACUCAAAAGCAGAAAAAAAGUGGAAGUGAUGUCAAAACCACUCAACUUUUCCAGGUGGCAAAAAAAAGUUCUAUAUAUACACAAAAAGAAGUAAUUUUCUCACAUCCGCAAAAUGUUCUCCAAGUGAAAUGACAAAUCUAAUCCUCCUGCCUAAUAUGUUCUCAGAUUUUUAAUUUAGGCAUUUUUACUAGAGCCUUAUAGGUACUAGAAUAAUGUGAGUUUUUUCUCUGUACUAAGUUGCUCAACUAUAAUGACUUCAUCAUUUCAUUUAAGCACCUGUUCUGGAAAAUAGGUCCUUAUCCUCCAAACACUCACAUCUAGUAACUAUUCCCAUUUGAACUCUAAAAAUUGUAUCCCAGCUCUUUAGAGUGAUUUAUAGUGUACUAUUAGAAGCAUCUAUAAGCACCUGAAAUGCGUCUGUGGAUGAACAUGAGCAAUAAUUGUAAAUAUAGUUUAUGAGUUAAGCAGUGCGCUGAUUUUGGCGGCCAAUGCUCAGCAAAAUAUUGAGUCUCCCAACUCCUGU